CAGCAGUAGCCGCGGUAACACCAGCACCCCGAGUGGUCAGGAGGUUUAUUGGGCCUAAAGCAUCCGUAGCCGGUUGCAUAAGUCUUCGGUUAAAUCUAUGCGCUUAACGUAUAGGCCGCCGAAAAUACUGUGCAGCUAGGGAGUGGGAGAGGUACACGGUACUCGAUAGGAAGGGGUAAAAUCCUUUGAUCUAUUGAUGACCACCUGUGGCGAAGGCGGUGUACCAGAACACGUUCGACGGUGAGGGAUGAAAGCUGGGGGAGCAAACCGGAUUAGAUACCCCCGUAGUCCCUGUCUCUUAUAC
rnacentral:rRNA from 1 species